rnacentral:lncRNA from 10 species
AGGAAUUUCUGAAGAUAUGCUUCCCAUUUGAGAGAUGAAAACCUUGAGGCACAGAAGUUCUAUAAAAUUGUCUAAACUAAACAUGCAAAUUUAUCUUCAGGCUAGAACUUGAUGGAAUAUCUAUGUUCUUAGACAAUGCUAAUUGAUUAUAGGAACUGCCUUUAGGACCAGAACAAGAAUGUAAUGUCUAAACUGCUUCAGCAUUCAAAUGACGCUGGCUUCUUCUGGAACAAAUUAUGGAAGAUUGUAAAUUACUUAGAAGGACUGUAUAUAUGCCAAAUCUCACGCUGAAAUGACAUGGAGCUCUGCCCCUGCACACCCAGGUUUAUCAAGGCAAAGACACAGAUACCAGGACACUUCCUUUUGAACACUUGGCUAUAGAAGUUAAG